rnacentral:rRNA from 1 species
GACGAGGGGUCCUAGCGUUGUUCGGAAUCACUGGGCGUAAAGCGUAUGUAGGCGGGCUUCUAAGUCAGGUGUGAAAUCCCAUGGCUCAACCAUGGAAUUGCAUUUGAAACUGGAAGUCUUGAAUGUGGGAGAGAUUGGUAGAAUACCUGGUGUAGUGGUGAAAUACGUAGAUAUCAGGUGGAAUACCGGUGGCGAAGGCGGCCAAUUGGCCCAACAUUGACGCUGGGAUACGAAAGCGUGGGGAUCAAACAGG